rnacentral:tRNA from 2 species
GGUCCUAUAGCUCAUUCGGUUAGAGCAACUGACUCAUAAUCAGUAGGUGCUUGGUUCGAUUCCAAGUGGGACCACCC